UACCAGCACCCCGAGUGGUCGGGACGAUUAUUGGGCCUAAAGCAUCCGUAGCCGGCCUUACAAGUCCCCCGUUAAAUCCAACUGCUUAACAGAUGGGCUGCGGAGGAUACUAUAAGACUAGGAGGCAGGAGAGGCAAGCGGUACUCAGUGGGUAGGGGUAAAAUCCGUUGAUCCAUUGAAGACCACCAGUGGCGAAGGCGGCUUGCUGGGCCAGUUCUGACGCUGAGGAGCGAAAGCGUGGGGAGCGAACAGG
rnacentral:rRNA from 1 species